GAAAAGCAAUUGGGGUGCUAAUUGGCUGAGAAAUACCCAUCGAACCUGAAUCUAGGUAAUUCUAGCGCAGGGAAAAUGUAAUGUUUUGUGC
rfam:Lactobacillus sp. ASF360 genomic scaffold acMPL-supercont1.1, whole genome shotgun sequence.